AUAUCUCCUUGGAGCCACAUAAGCUACAAUGUAGAAGAUCAGUGUGGUCCCUAAGCAAGGAUGACAUAAAAAGUCAGUGAGUAUUGAUAUUAUUAA
ensembl:snRNA Gm23854 predicted gene, 23854